rnacentral:rRNA from 1 species
AGCUCCAAUAGCGUAUAUUAAAGUUGUUGCAGUUAAAAAGCUCGUAGUUGGAUCUCAGGUGCAGGCGGGCGGUCCGGCUCGCGCCGGUUCACUGCCCGUAUCUCCUGCCCUACCCGUCUGCCGGCUCUCUCCCGCGGGUGCUCUUUGCUGAGCGUCCCGGGUGGCCGGUGCGUUUACUUUGAAAAAAUUAGAGUGUUCAAAGCAGGCCUUGGCAGCCUGAAUAAUGGUGCAUGGAAUAAUGGAAUAGGACCUCGGUUCUAUUUUGUUGGUUUUCGGAAACGAGGUAAUGAUUAACAGGGACAAACGGGGGCAUUCGUAUUGCGGCGUUAGAGGUGAAAUUCUUGGAUCGCCGCAAGACGGACUACUGCGAAAGCAUUUGUCAAGAAUGUUUUCA